GUUGCGCUGCGUAGAACACUAGGCGUCUUUUAAUUGCGGCCGUCUUUUGUCUUUGCUAUUGUGCUUGCUAUGUCUGGAUAUGCAGCCACAAUCUUCAGUGCUCUUACAAUCGAGAAACAUCAUAUUUUUUGCCAAUGUGCCUGUGUGCAUAUGCCCAUACACAUAUAAAAUUUGUUUUUGUUUUGCAAAUGGGAACCGUAAAUGCAAAUUUGCUAAAUGUAAUCUCCGUAUAAAGUUUGAAAAGUGCACUUUAACGCUAGAAAUUGGUAUUCUACUAUAAAAGGAUUCUAUUUAUGGCUUGAAUUGAAUGCAAAUAUACGGAUGCAUUGGCUUCAAAUUACUACAACGUGUCGUAUGAUGAUGUUUCAUAAGCUGACACAUUGAAGACAAAUUUUUGUUAUAUUAAACCUAUGCAAAUAUUAUAUUACGAAUAUGUAAUUAGUUUAUUAUACAAUACAACAAAGCUUUGGAGAGCCAACAUUAAAAGAAAAACUUUUGAAAACAGAAAACAAGAAUGAGAAACAAUGUAAAGCAAAUAUCCAUACAUAAAAUUCGCUUUUAUUCCGAUAUCUGGCCACUUAAAAAGAUUCGUUCAAAAAUGGAAAGCUAAAUGAAUCAUGAAAGAAAAAAACAAAUUAUAUUCAGUGUUG